rnacentral:rRNA from 1 species
AAGACCCUCAUCUUUAGUUGCAACUGGUAAGUCCGCUUAUCAGGCACAUUAAAGAGACCGCUGGCGCUAAGUCAGAGGAAGGCGAGGGCAACGGUAGGUCAGUAUGCCCUGAAUCCUUCGGGCUACACGCGCGCUACAAAGGCCAGGACAAUGGGCUUCGACACCGAAAGGUGAAGGUAACCCCGAAACCUGGUCAUAGUUCGGAUCGAGGGUUGAAACUCACCCUCGUGAAGGUGGAUUCCGUAGUAAUCGCGUGUCAACAUCACGCGGUGAAUAU